rnacentral:rRNA from 1 species
CCUACGGGAGGCUGCAGUGGGGAAUAUUGCACAAUGGGGGGAACCCUGAUGCAGCGACGCCGCGUGGGUGAAGGAGUAUUUCGGUACGUAAAGCCCUAUCAGCAGGGAAGAACAAUGCCGUUACCUGACUAAGCAGCACCGGCUAAAUACGUGCCAGCAGCCGCGGUAAUACGUAUGGUGCAAGCGUUAUCCGGAUUUACUGGGUGUAAAGGGAGCGCAGGCGGCGCGUUAAGCCUGGUGUGAAAGUCCGCGGCCCAACCGCGGGACUGCAUUGGGAACUGGCGCGCUGGAGUGCCGGAGGGGUAGGCGGAAUUCCUAGUGUAGCGGUGAAAUGCGUAGAUAUUAGGAGGAACACCAGUGGCGAAGGCGGCCUACUGGACGGUGACUGACGCUGAGGCUCGAAAGCGUGGGGAGCAAACAGGAUUAGAUACCCUAGUAGUC